UUGAAAGGGAAACGAUUGAAGUCAGUCGUACCAGCGGGAAUCAACCUUUCGAGUGGGGGUUUUGGAGUUUUGAAGAGUGUCAAAACCUUUGAGAUUUCAAAAUAUUCGCUCUUUUGGUGUACUUUCUCGUGGGUAGGUUAACAUCGAUUUUGAUCAUCAUAAAAAGAUUGGAGGAAUGUAGCUUCGAUCUUGUAUUGAAGUGUUAUAGCCUUUGGUAAAUGUGAUGAUUAGGAUCGAGGAUUGCAACGAAUACCCUUUUGGGCUAUCCGCCUGAUCUCUGAUACGUGGCCUUGGCAUCGAAAGCUUGCUUAUGGUAUCAAGGUAUUACGGUCAAAAGGUUAGAACGGAUUACAUUCGUUAAGGAUGUUGACGUA
rnacentral:rRNA from 1 species